rnacentral:misc_RNA from 1 species
GAUGAAGAACGUAGCGAAAUGCGAUACUUGGUGUGAAUUGCAGAAUCCCGUGAACCAUCGAGUCUUUGAACGCAAGUUGCGCCCGAAGCCAUUAGGCCGAGGGCACGCCUGCCUGGGCGUCACACGUCGUUGCCCCCCCAUCUACUCCUUCGGGAUUGCGGGGGGCGGAUGAUGGCCUCCCGUGCGCCUCGCCGCGCGGUUGGCAUAAAUGCCAAGUCCUCGGCGACGCACGCCACGACAAUCGGUGGUUGCGAAACCUCGGUUGCCCGUCGUGUGCGGUCGUCGCGCAUCGAGGGCUCGAAAAAAUUGCCGGGUUCCGGCUCGGCUUUCAACGCGACCCCAGGUCAGGUGGGGUUAACCGCUGAAUUUAAGCAUAUCAAUAAGCGGAGGA